rnacentral:tRNA from 1 species
CCUGGUAGCUCAGAUGGUAAAGCAGCUGCCUGUAAUGCAGGACACUCAGGUUCAAUCCCUGGGUCAGGA